CAAGUUUUCGACAGUAACCAGUUACAAAUAUCUAUUUUCAUCCUUAUUAAUUAGCAAGCUAGCUCUUUAAGGAAAAAAUGGCUGCAGCCAAAUCUGCUAUUGGCACUGGAAAGAACGACAUCAGUGAACUAGAACCAGUGAAGCCGGCUGACCCUCACGUGGUCCAGAUCGGAGAAUUUGUAGUGGAACAAUGCCACCACGGCCAGCUGCUUUUCGUCGCCGUGGUUGGAGGAUUCACGUGGAGCGGUGAUGGAGGUUAUUACUACGCACUUAUCAUUGAAAAUCAGGAUAGCGACGGUGCCACAUAUCUCCAUAAAGCACUUGUUCUUCAGACCCCAAGUGAAACGAAACUCAUCUGGCACAAGAAGUAAGCAAGCACUGCUGUUGAUCAACUGAGGAUCAACGACAUUAAGUACUCUAAUUAUAUAGUGUCUUUGGUGUGGUUUUCAGUUUCUGCAUGGAUGAUGUAUUGCUGGCAUGCAUACAUCUCCCUGCUGUUGUACUAGUAUGUAAGGUGCAGUUCUACGAACAAAAAUGCACCGUUAAAUAAAAAAUCCGCUGUGUGUUUGAGUGUGUGUCAUUUUACUAGUAUGUCAAAGGUGCACUUAUACGAACAAAAAUGCACCAUUAAAUAAAUAAAAACAGCCUUCUGUGUUUGAAUUUAUAUCAA